rnacentral:rRNA from 1 species
GAUCAUGGCUCAGGAUGAACGCUAGCUACAGGCUUAACACAUGCAAGUCGAGGGGCAGCAUGAUUGAAGCUUGCUUCAAUCGAUGGCGACCGGCGCACGGGUGAGUAACACGUAUCCAACCGUGCCGAUAACUCGGGGAUAGCCUUUCGAAAGAAAGAUUAAUACCCGAUAGUAUAGUAUUUCCGCAUGGUUUCACUAUUAAAGAAUUUCGGUUAUCGAUGGGGAUGCGUUCCAUUAGA